rnacentral:lncRNA from 1 species
GAAAUCUUGUUAAUGAUUUUUUGACUUAUGCAUUGGUAUAUUAGAAAUCUAGCUCUACUGUCUGACUUUUCGAGCAUCUUGUGUUCCUUCUUUUGUUCUUGGGUUGCCUUCUCACUCAACUCAGGCACGCCAUCUUCAAUGACUUCCAACACGUCCUGGAACCCAAACACAGCCCACAUCUUGAUCCUCCAAUCCGCAAACUGCUCCCCAUCAAAUAUAGGUAGCGGUCCCUGAAUCCCUCCGAAUCCAGCCAUCUCAAUCUUGCAACUUUCUUUCAGGUUCUUUGAUAAUCUUUAGC